UUAACAAAAACAUGUCUUUUUGAGUUAUUUUUAAAGUCUGACCUGCCCACUGAAAUUAUUUAAAUGGCCGCAGUAUUCUAACUGUGCAAAGGUAGCAUAAUCAUUAGUCUUUUAAUUGAAGGCUGGUAUGAACGGUUGGACGAGGUAUAAGCUGUUUCAUAUAAAUUUAUAAUAGAAUUUUAUAUUUUAGUCAAAAAGCUAAAAUUUAAUUAAAAGACGAGAAGACCCUAUAAAUCUUUAUACUUUACGUUGUUUAAAUUUUCUGGAUUUUUUUUAUUUUUAUAAUUUAAAGUAUUUUGUUGGGGUGAUAUUAAAAUUUAAUGAACUUUUAAUUAUUUAAAAUCAUUAAUUUAUGAGUUAUUGAUCCAUUAAUAGUGAUUAUAAGACUAAGUUACUUUAGGGAUAACAGCGUAAUUUUUUUGGAGAGUUCAUAUCGAUAAAAAAGUUUGCGACCUCGAUGUUGGAUUAAGAUAUAUUUUUAGGUGUAGCCGCUUAAAUAUUAAGUCUGUUCGACUUUUAAAUUCUUACGUGAUCUGAGUUC
rnacentral:rRNA from 1 species